rnacentral:rRNA from 1 species
GAGAACUACGAGCAUAAGCUUAAAAUGUAAAGGAUCUGACGGUGCUUUAGACCCCCCUAGAGGAGCUUGUCCUGUAAUCGACAAUCCCCGCUAAACCUUAACUUCUUUAGCCUUCAGCCUGCAUACCGCCGUCAUAAGCCCACCCUCCGAGGGUAUAAAAGUAGGCAGAAUCGGCUAUAGCCCCAAAAGUCAGGUCAAGGUACAGCUCACAAGAAGUGAAGAGAUGAGCUACAUUUCCUAUAAAGGAUUUUCAGAAAAUCUUUUGAAAUAAAGAUCAAAGAUGGAUUUAGCAGUAAGUAAAAAAUAGAGUGUUUCACUGAAGUCGAACCUAAAAUGCGCACACACCGCCCGUCGUCCUCUCUUAAGAUACUCAAAUACUACAUAAUAACCCCACAUCAACGAAGGGGAGGGAAGUCGUAACAUGGUAAGUGUACUGGAAUGUGCACUUGAUUAAAA